AUCCAUGGCUUCCUAAUUGGGUACCCUCUCCCUUUAUUUGUUUGGCUAUGUGAAUACGGUUGUUGGUACUCGCAUUAACCAGGGUGCAAAGAAUGUUGUUUGCAUGAGUGGCUGUAUCGAAAUGCAGAUGGGCAGUAAGAUGUGCAGUGUAGUGUCUUGAGGAGCAUCCAGUUCAUGUUGUUAUCGGCUGCAGCCAGGGAAAUCGGGAAAUAAAUUUGGCACUUUAUCCCUCACCAAGAGUCGUCCAUCAGAAACUGGCCAAACACCCCAUGGAAGCUGUUUCAAGUCUUGCUUCUCCAUGGAUAUGGGCAACUCACGGUCAUUAACAGUUAAUGCUAAAAGAACUCAGAAAUGUCUAGAAAUUUCAUUGGCAUGUCAGGGCAUGAAAACUAGAAUUUUGGUCCCUAGACAAGGAAUGCUUCCCAAAAUCAAGUGUAAUGCGGGCCCAGUGUCAUGGCCACAAUGUGCUUAUGUUGGUUUAAUGUUUGGGUUGCUGAUUUGUAAUUCUUCUGAGCCAGCACACGCUGAAACAACUCAUAAGAAUGAUGAUAAGGAAGAUGACGGUGAUUUGUCAUAUUCACAUGGAAAAAAAGUUCAUACUGAAUAUUCCAUUAUUGGUGAUAUACCUGGAGAUGGAAGGUGCUUGUUCCGCUCUGUUGCUCAUGGCGCUUGUUUAAGAGCUGGAAAAUCAGCUCCUAGUCAAAGCCUUCAGAGAGAAUUAGCAGAUGACUUGAGAGCUAGUGUUGCUGAUGAGUUUAUCAAAAGGAGAGAAGAGACAGAAUGGUUUGUUGAAGGUGAUUUUGACCCCUAUGUCUUCCAAAUAAGAAAGCCACAUGUAUGGGGAGGGGAGCCCGAAUUGUUAAUGGCUUCACAUGUUCUUCAAAUGCCUCACAGUAUACAUGCAUGAUGAAAAGGCUGGCCGCUUAAUAACUAUUGCCGAGUACGGGCAAGAAUAUGGGAAGGAAAAUCCAAUCAGAGUUCUCUAUCAUGGUUUCGGCCAUUAUGAUGCAUUGCAUAUUCCAGGAGUGAGGGGUGGUAAACCCAGGCUUUAACAUAUGAAUCUAACAAAGUUGAAAGAACAUUCGGAAGAAUAAAAUCCAAUAUUCAUCAUAGUACCCAUGCAAACUUUUACUCUCUUUUUUUUGGCCAGAUGUGCACAUUAUGUUGUAACUGUACAUGUUUUAUUGGUAUUUGUUUACCGAGAGUUUGUAGUGUGGAUGAAUGGAAGUGAUCUUCAGUUGUGUAUGAAUGGCCUUCACAUUCUGUCUUUUCAUC